CAAAGGUUUUUCCUUCUGGUCGACGAGGGCAAAAGCGAACACUUCGCCUCUCCCCUCUUCUCCUCCUCCUCCCUCACCAUCGCCGAGCUCCAACGAAGCUCUCAUCCAUGGCGGAUCCCGACGAGGAUCCUCUCCUUCUCCUCGAGCGCUCCGCUCGAGCCACCAGAGGCAAGAGAAUGACUAAGUUGCUGGAUGAAGAGAUUGAGCAGGAUGAAUGGUUUUGGAAUCAAGAUGCUUUUAAUGAGAGGUCACAGAAGUGAAAGACAUCGUGGAAAAUUGCAAUGGUGGUGAGGCAGAAGUGACUCAUGCUGGAACUGCAAAUUUGGUGCUUUC